AAUGAACGCUGGCGGUAGGCCUAACACAUGCAAGUCGAACGGCAGCACAGUAAGAGCUUGCUCUUACGGGUGGCGAGUGGCGGACGGGUGAGGAAUACAUCGGAAUCUACUUUUUCGUGGGGGAUAACGUAGGGAAACUUACGCUAAUACCGCAUACGACCUACGGGUGAAAGCAGGGGAUCUUCGGACCUUGCGCGAUUGAAUGAGCCGAUGUCGGAUUAGCUAGUUGGCGGGGUAAAGGCCCACCAAGGCGACGAUCCGUAGCUGGUCUGAGAGGAUGAUCAGCCACACUGGAACUGAGACACGGUCCGGACUCCUACGGGAGGCAGCAGUGGGGAAUAUUGGACAAUGGGCGCAAGCCUGAUCCAGCCAUACCGCGUGGGUGAAGAAGGCCUUCGGGUUGUAAAGCCCUUUUGUUGGGAAAGAAAAGCAGCAGGUUAAUACCCCGCUGUUCUGACGGUACCCAAAGAAUAAGCACCGGCUAACUUCGUG
rnacentral:rRNA from 1 species